GAGUUUGAUUCUUGCUUGCUUUAUUCAUUUUAUAUUUGUUUUAUAUGUAAGUUUUUGCGUGAUUUUUGUUCUUCUUUUUAAUAGGGUUGAAUGUGGGUUUAUAAUUCUCAUUAUUUGUAAUUGAUGUUUUAAGGUUUCUUAUAGUUAGCAAUUUAUUUUAGUUUCGGUUAAAUUUUGUGCCAGCAUCCGCGGUUAUACCUUGGGGGCUUAUGAAUAUGUUUGGAUUACGGUAGUUAUAUUUUACUUUGGUUUAGAUUUUUGUUAAGUGUGUUUAUUAGGUGAAAUUUUUAUUGUUUUUGUUUCUUUUGUGUGUUUGGAUUAUGUCUAUGAGGCUCUAAGUUUUAAACUAGGAUUAGAUACCCUAUUAUUUUGAGUGUUAAUUGUUUUUCUAGGUAGUAUUAGGUAAGUUCUUGAAACCUAAAGAAUUUGGCGGUAUUUUAUUCCGAUCAGAGGAAUCUGCCCCGUUAUCGAUGAUCCGCGUUGUACCUUACUUAGUUUAAUUUGUUUGUAUACCGCCGUAUAUUGAUUAUCAUUUUAGUGUUUAAAUUUUCUUGAUUCUUAAUUUGGUUAUAUUUCAGGUCAAGGUGCAGCUUGUGGCUGAGUGUGAGGUGGAUUACAUUGAUUUUUUGUUUAUUGGAUUGUAUGUUGUUAUUUAUGUAUAUGAAAUUGGAUUUGAUUGUAAUGUUUGAUGAAGAUUGUUUUCAUGAUAAUUGGUUCUGAGAUAUGUACACAUCGCCCGUCGCUCUCGUUAUUUCAUUAAUGAGAUAAGUCGUAACAAAGUGGUCGUACCGGAAGGUGUGGCUGGAUUGAUAUA
rnacentral:ncRNA from 1 species